AGUCAUAUGCUUGUCUCAAAGAUUAAGCCAUGCAUGUCUAAGUAUAAGCGACUAUACUGUGAAACUGCGAAUGGCUCAUUAAAUCAGUUAUGGUUUAUUUGAUGGUACCUUGCUACUUGGAUAACCGUAGUAAUUCUAGAGCUAAUACAUGCAGGAGUUCCCGACUCACGGAGGGAUGUAUUUAUUAGAUAAGAAACCAAACCGGUCUCCGGUUGCGUGCUGAGUCAUAAUAACUGCUCGAAUCGCACGGCUCUACGCCGGCGAUGGUUCAUUCAAAUUUCUGCCCUAUCAGCUUUCGAUGGUAGGAUAGAGGCCUACCAUGGCGUUAACGGGUAACGGA
rnacentral:rRNA from 1 species